rnacentral:rRNA from 1 species
UUUAGAUGGUAGGGGAGCGAUCCCUGCGCAGCGAAGCGGAAUCGAAAGAGACCGUGGAGAGCAGGGAAGAAAGAAUGUUGGCAUGAGUAGCGAAAGAUAGGUGAGAAUCCUAUCCAUCGAAAGCCCAAGGUCUCCUGAGCAAGGCUCGUCCGCUCAGGGUCAGUCGGGGCCUAAGCCGAGGCUUAAGAGCGUAGGCGAUGGACAACAGGUCGAAAUUCCUGUACUGGACUUAAUCGUUAUGAGAGAUGGAGUGACACAGAAGGAUAAGAGAACCCGGCAGAUGGAACAGCCGGGCCAAGCAGCAAGGCUUGAACGGGAGGCAAAUCCCCUGUUCUAUAAGGCUGAGCUGUGAAGGGGAUCGAAAAACAAGUAGAGAAGUCUCCGAUUUCACGCUGUCGAGAAAAACUUCUAUCCAGAGAAAGUCCACCCGUACCGCAAACCGACACAGGCAGGCGAGGAGAGAAUCCUAAGAUGAGCGGGAGAAGUGUUGUUAAGGAACUCGGCAAAAUAACUCCGUAACUUCGGGAGAAGGAGUGCCUAAGCAAUUAGGCCGCAGAGAAGAGGCUCAAGCGACUGUUUAGCAAAAACACAGGUCUCUGCUAAAUCGAAAGAUGACGUAUAGGGGCUGACGCCUGCCCGGUGCUGGAAGGUUAAGAGGAGAGCUUAGCGGUAACGCGAAGGUUUGAAUUGAAGCCCCAGUAAACGGCGGCCGUAACGAUAACGGUCCUAAGGUAGCGAAAUUCCUUGUCAGGUAAGUUCUGACCCGCACGAAGGGCGUAACGAUUUGAGCGCUGUCUCGACAACACACCCGGUGAAAUUGUAGUACUCGUGAAGAUGCGAGUUACCCGCGACAGGACGGAAAGACCCCGUAGAGCUUUACUGUAAUCUGACAUUGGAUUUUUAUACGAAAUGUACAGGAUAGGUGGGAGGCUAAGAAGAGAGUACGCCAGUAUUCUCGGAGCCGCUGUUGGGAUACCACUCUUUUCGUAUGAGGAUUCUAACGAGAUCGUGUGAAACCAGGAUUCGGACAGUGUCAGACGGGCAGUUUGACUGGGGCGGUCGCCUCCUAAAGAGUAUCGGAGGCGCCCAAAGUUACCCUCAGGAUGGUUGGAAACCAUCUGUAAGAGUGCGAAGGCAGAAGGGUGACUGACUGCGAGAGAGACAUCUCGAGCAGAGACGAAAGUCGGGCUUAGUGAUCCGGUGGUACCGAGUGGAAGGGCCAUCGCUCAACGGAUAAAAGCUACCUCGGGGAUAACAGGCUUAUCUCCUA